GACGAACGCUGGCGGCGUGCUUAACACAUGCAAGUCGAGCGGUAAGGCCCUUUCGGGGUACACGAGCGGCGAACGGGUGAGUAACACGUGGGUGACCUGCCCUCAGCUCUGGGAUAGCCUGGGAAACCGGGUCUAAUACUGGAUAUGACUCCAUGACGCAUGUUGUGGGGUGGAAAGCCUUGUGCGGCUGAGGAUGGGCCCC
rnacentral:rRNA from 1 species